GCGGGCUGGAGGCUGGCUGUGGGGUGGGGCUGGUCGGCUUCCCCCUGCCCUGCGCUGCCUGGACUCAGAGCGGACAGGACCCCAAGGAUGGGGGGCGGGGGGCGUGCUGCUCCCCACUGGGGUGGCCAGCGGUCCCGUCCCUACACUUAGAAGAUGAGAUGGGGCCAGCCUGCGGUCGCCGCGUGGCGGGGACCGCUCCUCUUCUCCUGGCGCCCCGCCUGGCAGGCAAGGCCUGGGCGCUGGUGCGGGUGCGGCGGGGCUGGGCCACCAUCGCCGCUGGCUCCGGGCAGGUGACCAGGCCUCCACACCCUGUGUGUGAGCCCGGUGGCGGGCCCGGGCCUUGCCCCUCCCUGUCUCCUCCUAGCACCUAGCGGCCGGGGUGUCCUGCCGGGACUCUGCCAGUGCACCGGGUCCCAGCCCGCUUGCCGCUCGUAGGAUGGAGUCCCGGUGCCAUGCGCCCGUCCUACCCCAGAGCCCUCUGCAGGGAUGGAGCCCCAGUCCUGCUCCCUUCUGCCCCCUGCCUGGGCAGGGCCGGGUCUGUCCUGUAGCCUCCGUGCGUGGAGCCUUCCCCCCGGGGCUUGUUCCCCACCCCCGGGCUGGCACCUUUCGCCCUUGCUUCCCUGCGUCUGUCACAGCUGCCUGGACAGGAUGUGGCAUCCAGGGAGGGACAGGGGCUCCUCCUCAGCUCAGCCCAGCUCUGGAGCUGUCCUGUGGGGACCCUGGCCAGCAUGCCCCGCAGAAGUGGUGGGGCCCGACUUUAUUCACCUGCGUGCGGCCUGCCUUGAGAGGGCGGUGUCGCCCGGGACUGGCCACCGGGCGCCUAGGGUGGCAGGGCCGCCGCCAGUUUCCAGAACAGUGAGGAGGUAGUGCGACUUUUCUGCAGUUCAGGGAGUGUCUGUUCUCGCUCUAUUUUGCCGAUCGGGUCUGCCGCUGCACUGCUGGCCACAUCCUGGUUCUCUCCUCCCUUCCUGGCUGCACUUCUUUUUUCAUCAGACAGUAUCAGAACUGUGCCCUCUGCUUGGGCCUCUACUGUUCCCGGACAUGCUUCCAGAUAGAGCAUGGCCAGCGAGCCUGGAGCGGCCAGUAAUGGGAGGCCUGCAAGGCACCCUUGCAAGAAAGCCAGAACCAACCUCAGGAGAAUGGAAGCAGAACUUUAUUCUUCUUGGCUAGGGAAGAGAACUAGCGGGUGGUCGUGCAUAGUACCCCCCCACCCCUCCCAGAACCAAAGAAGACAGGCGGAGCCACCAAAGGGCUACCUCUGCUCGCCUCUCUCCUUUGCCCAUGUGGAGGCAGGUGAGUGCAACGCAGGGCUGGGGUGGCUGCAGUGAUGGGGCGGCCAGGGCCGGCCGGGGCUCCGGGGCCAAGGAGACCAGGGGGGGCUGCUCAGGUUGGGGGGAUGGGCGUGGGAGCACUUCUCAUCCUGGGAGCUGCCAGCUGG